rnacentral:rRNA from 1 species
UACGUAGGGUGCAAGCGUUGUCCGGAAUUAUUGGGCGUAAAGAGCUUGUAGGCGGUUUGUCGCGUCUGCUGUGAAAAUCCGGGGCUCAACCCCGGACUUGCAGUGGGUACGGGCAGACUAGAGUGUGGUAGGGGAGACUGGAAUUCCUGGUGUAGCGGUGGAAUGCGCAGAUAUCAGGAGGAACACCGAUGGCGAAGGCAGGUCUCUGGGCCACUACUGACGCUGAGAAGCGAAAGCAUGGGGGAGCGAACAGG